UACGAACUGUGCGAACGUUAUUCGGAAUCACUGGGCUUACAGGGUGUGUAGGCGGCUUGUUAAGUAGGGUGUGAAAGCCCCCGGCUCAACCGGGGAAUGGCGCCCUAAACUGGCGAGCUGGAGUGAGAUAGGGGUGUGUGGAACUUCCGGUGGAGCGGUGAAAUGUGUUGAUAUCGGAAGGAACGCCGGUGGCGAAAGCGACACACUGGAUCUUGUCUGACGCUGAGGCACGAAAGCCAGGGGAGCGAACGGG
rnacentral:rRNA from 1 species